rnacentral:rRNA from 1 species
GACGAACGCUGGCGGCGUGCCUAAUACAUGCAAGUAGAACGCUGAAGAGAGGAGCUUACUCUUCUUGGAUGAGUUGCGAACGGGUGAGUAACGCGUAGGUAACCUGCCUUGUAGCGGGGGAUAACUACUGGAAACGAUAGCUAAUACCGCAUAACAAUGGAUGACACAUGUCAUUUAUUUGAAAGGGGCAAUUGCUCCACUACAAGAUGGACCUGCGUUGUAUUAGCUAGUAGGUGAGGUAAUGGCUCACCUAGGCGACGAUACAUAGCCGACCUGAGAGGGGGAUCGGCCACACUGGGACGGAGACACGGCCCAGACUCCUACGGGAGGCAGCAGUAGGGAAUCUUCGGCAAUGGGGGCAACCCUGACCGAGCAACGCCGCGUGAGUGAAGAAGGUUGUCGGAUCGUAAAGCUCUGUUGUAAGUCAAGAACGGGUGUGAGAGUGGAAAGUUCACACUGUGACGGUAGCUUAACAGAAAGGGACGGCUAACUACGUG